rnacentral:rRNA from 1 species
GACGAACGCUGGCGGCGUGCCUAAUACAUGCAAGUCGAACGCACUCUCGUUUAGAUUGAAGGAGUUUGCUCCUGAUUGAUAAACAUUUGAGUGAGUGGCGGACGGGUGAGUAACACGUGGGUAACCUGCCCUAAAGUGGGGGAUAACAUUUGGAAACAGAUGCUAAUACCGCAUAAAACCUAACACCGCAUGGUGUAGGGUUGAAAGAUGGUUUCGGCUAUCACUUUAGGAUGGACCCGCGGUGCAUUAGUUAGUUGGUGAGGUAAAGGCUCACCAAGACCGUGAUGGAUAGCCCAACUGAGAGGGUAAUCGGCCACACUGGGACUUAGACACGGCCCAGGCUCCUAAGGGAGGCAGCAGUAGGGAAUCUUCCACAAUGGACGAAAGUCUGGUGGAACAACGGCGCGUGAGUGAAGAAGGUUUUCGGAUCGUAAAACUCUGUUGUUGGAGAAGAAUGUAUCUGAUAGUAACUGAUCAGGUAGUGACGGUAUCCAACCAGAAAGCCACGGCUAACUACGUG